UUUGUCCUCACUGUUGGAGGAGAAUAUCAAGAAGGUGGAAAAGUCGUUUCUGUCCUUGCAGUUUUCUGUGUUGGAUAGGGAUGGUUGUCGGGUUUGGAAUUCAGCCACUCAGAUCAAGAAAGAAAAAAGCAAAAGAAGAGAAAAGAAAGGAAAAGAAGAAUCGAAGAGAGGGGAAGAUCUCGCCGAUAACCUUCGGGUUUUUGGCUUCUGGGUUUUAAAAGGUAAUCCUGAUCUUAAAAGUUUCCUCGCCAAUCUGCUUGAUUAGAAACUUGAAAAACAAAGCUUGGUUGAGACAGAGGAAGAACAGAAGGACAAGAAGAUCGAGGAGGACGAAGAUGGAACUGGGUCUUAAAAUACUCUAGAAUGGUUUUCUCCAUUGUCCGCAGAGAAAAGAAGAGUCCGAAUUGGACCUAGGCUUUUCAGCGACCAAUGGCUCAUUUUGAGUUACGAGCAAAAUGUCAGAGGUACUGGGCAUUGGUUAUGGGGUCGCCCUAGGAAAAGGAAGGCUUAAUUUUGUGCUCCUCUUAUGAAGGUGCUUCUUGACAAUGGGAAGACGGAGAGGCUCAUCUUGGCUCAUCAAUCAGGAUUAGAAGCUUCCCAACCGGCUCUAACUCAAUAUCGGGUGCUUGGUCCUAUGAUAAAUGGAUGCUCAUGGAUUGAAUUACAACCACUCACUAGCCAAAAGCAUCAGUUGGUUACUAUUUGGUUGGAGCGCAAGGAUUCCUUAGCUGGCUUGCAAGACUAUGAGUUUUGGCACACUUGAAAUGCUGAUUGUGUGACAGAGUAAAAUCCUCACCCUUCAAUAUAUCUGAUAGCUGCAGAGGCUGUUGGCAUUAACAGAACCAAGCCAAAUCCUAAAGGCGAAACCCACAAGCAUUGAUAUACAGAGUUGCAGUCAUAUAAGAGCUGAAGACACAAAUGCAACUUCUAAAAGUUCCUCACAAGAUGGCCAGACAGAGAGAGACUCAGAUUACUCUUCAAAUAAGAAUUGGUGUCGUGAUGAGCCAUUAUCUAUAUCUACCAUCUAAUUACGAAGUAAUCAUUUAUAAUUGGGUUGCAGUUUAUGUAUAUUGAGGUAGCAAAACCACUAAGUAUGAUCAUGUGCUAUUUGGUGCCUGCCACACCAUCUUCACUACUUAUUACGCCUUAGUCAGACUGUCAGAGGUAGGACUUUUGGUAUGGUGUUAAGAACAUCGAGUAAUGGAGCCGACUCAGAAGAAAUCACCAGCUUCAAUGGCAUAUUUUGUCUCAAGAAGAAUGUGUCAACAUUGAUACAGUUAUUGGCAUUGACAAAAAACCUAAAAACCAAGUCAAGCCAUAUGGUCUAGAUAAUGAAACUACUGGAGAGCUGAGAGAGAUCCAGAUAUAGCGGUACCUGAAGAUGGUAUUUACCGAUUCAGGAAGUGUCAGAACCAGGAUAUCUUUUAUGAGAAUGAUAGAUAACCAUUUGUUGCAUGCGAUUAUUUAGCUAUUUAACAUUUCUUCUGUACAAAUGAUUUUAAUAUCUUGGAUCAACUUUCAGGUUUAAUAUAUUUUUUUUUGAACCUCUAUAUGUUCGAUCUCUUUGGUCUAGAAAAAGAUGGUCAAAACAAUGCCCAUUUUAAGUUUUACGUUUGCAGCAUGUUUUGGAACUUUUGGACUCUUCAAAUCACUCUUAGAUUAAUGCUCAAGUUUCUCCUUUCAAAAAAAAAAAAAAAAAAAAAAAAAAACUGAAGUUUCUUUUUAUUUUGAAUGAGUUUUUCUUUUUAUACUAAUCAUCCUUUCACAAUUUGUAAAAUAACAACAAUUUGAGUUGACGCUUCUUAGAUUAGGAGUUACUCUUACGUAUAAAUUCAGAAGAACAACCCCGCAGCAUUGCGCGGGAUCAUCUCUUCACUUAAAACCUAAAUGCAUCCAUUUCUUCAACAUGAUGAUUCAUUUCACUAUGCAAAUCAAUUAGUUAGUCUGCAGGCUAACUUUCUUUACAUAUCAAGUGUUUGUACAAAUUAACCUUCUGUGGCCUAUACUUUUUUUCCUUUUUGCAAUCUAUAAUGUCAUCUCAGAUACCGGUUGACAAAUUUUUAGCUUUCUUAAUCGCUAGAACUUCUUGAAUUAUACCUUAUAAAGUGUUUGCAUUGCAGAUUCAGAAAGGUUUAGGUAUGCAAGGGAUACAUCAUUAGAAAUAGUCAUUUGAACUUCUAGAGCCAGUCAUCAGUUUUCGUUUGCUUUGUACGUAAAGCACUACUUUGAAGUGUGCUUCUUCAGACAGUUUUUCGGGCAGUUACUAUGAGUACCUGACUCUGAGGCAUGGUUUUAUCUCGGCACAUUUAGCACCUGAGAUCAUUUUAUUCUCAUGCUAAUGGGUGAGAGGAGGAUUUGGCAAAGGACUGGAAACUGCACUCGAAGCAUCUUCGUUGUACUUUACGAUUUUCUGAGGAGGUGAAACUGGUCACCCGAGACCAUAGGAAGAAGGUAAAUUUAAAUGUUGAAGAGCCUAACGUUAAAAAAUUAUAUGCAAGCAUAGAUGGACGGGGAGAUAUGAAGCUCAUUUAUGGAACAAAGGAUCUUGGAAUCCAAGACAAAGGAAGAAGGGAAAACAGGGGCUUAUGACGAAGAAGAAUCCACAGCAAAAGCAUAUGAGUUGGCAGCACUCAAGUAGCGGGGAACAUCAACUUCUACAAAUUUUCCGAUGUAGGAUUAUGAGAAAGAAAUUGAUAUGUUGAACGCUAAGAAAAAGAAGAGUACUUGCCUCUCUAAGAAGCUAUUUAUUCAUCUUCAAAUUAAUAAGUUGUUGAGCAACCUACCUUAACUGUUGUAAAAAUUUCAAGAGAUGAAUUUGAUCUAUCUAUUUACUAAUUAUUUGAAAGCUUUUUGUUGAAA